rnacentral:rRNA from 1 species
UACAGAGGUCCCAAGCGUUGUUCGGAUUUACUGGGCGUAAAGGGUGCGUAGGCGGUUGGGUAAGUCUGACGUGAAAUCUCCGGGCCUAACCCGGAAACUGCGUUGGAUACUACCUGACUAGAGGAAUGGAGGGGAGACUGGAAUACUUGGUGUAGCAGUGAAAUGCGUAGAUAUCAAGUGGAACACCAGUGGCGAAGGCGAGUCUCUGGACAGUUCCUGACGCUGAGGCACGAAGGCCAGGGGAGCAAACGGG